AUUAUGGCUCAGGAUGAACGCUAGCGGCAGGCCUAAUACAUGCAAGUCGUACGGUAAAGUCCCCUCGGGGAGUUGAGAGUGGCGGACGGGUGCGUAACGCGUAUGCAACCCACCCCCGACGGGCGGAUAGCCGGUGGAAACGCCGGAUAACCCGCCAUGCGGCCCCACAGGGGCAUCCCUGUGGCGUCAAAGCGGCGACGCGGUCGGGGACGGGCAUGCGUCCCAUUAGAUGGUUGGCGGUGCAAUGGACCACCAAGUCUACGAUGGGUAGGGGAUCUGAGAGGACGGUCCCCCACACUGGUACUGAGACACGGACCAGACUCCUGCGGGAGGCAGCAGUAAGGGAUAUUGGGCAAUGGGGGCAACCCUGACCCAGCCAUGCCCGCGUGAGGGAAUGAGGCCCUACGGGUCGUGAACCUCUUUUGUCCGGGGACAAGGACAGUGUCGCGAACACUGUUUGAGGGUACCGGGAGAAUAAGCGUCGGCUAACUCCGUGCCAGCAGCCGC
rnacentral:rRNA from 1 species